rnacentral:rRNA from 1 species
AGGUCUGUGCCCAUCGGGGGCACCCUCGACCCCGCGACGCCGCGUGGGUGAUGAAGGCCUUCGGGUUGUAAAGCCCUUUCGGCCGGGACGAUAAUGACGGUACCUGAAGAAGAAGCUGCGGCUAACUACGUGCCAGCAGGCGCCGUAAUAAUACGG